rnacentral:lncRNA from 1 species
ACCAUCACUGGCUGAUGUCACGGCUGGUACUGUCAGUGGUCACCAUUCACAAUCACCAGCCUUUCCAUGAUGGAGGAAAGAGAGAAGGCUCCUUUGCUUUAGAGAAGAAGAAGAAGAGAACAUUUUCUCUCUCUUCUCUCCUUAUGUUCUCUUCUUUCUGUUCUUGAUCUUUCUCUCCUCUUUCUUUCUUUUCUACUUAACUAAGG